AACGAACGCUGGCGGCAUGCCUAACACAUGCAAGUCGAACGAACCCUUCGGGGUUAGUGGCGCACGGGUGCGUAACGCGUGGGAAUCUGCCCUUUGCUUCGGAAUAACUCAGGGAAACUUGUGCUAAUACCGGAUGAUGUCUUCGGACCAAAGAUUUAUCGGCAAGGGAUGAGCCCGCGUAGGAUUAGGUAGUUGGUGGGGUAAAGGCCUCCCAAGCCGAGGAUCCUUAGCUGGUCGGGGAGGAUGAUCAGCCACACUGGGACUGAGACACGGCCCAGAUGCCAAGGGAAGGCGCAGUGGGGGAUAAUGGAAAAAGGGCGCAAGCCUGAUCCAGCAAUGCCGCGUGAGUGAUGAAGGCCCUCGGGUCGUAAAGCUCUUUUACCAGGGAUGAUAAUGACAGUACCUGGAGAAUAAGCUCCGGCUAACUCCGUG
rnacentral:rRNA from 1 species